rnacentral:rRNA from 1 species
AACGAACGCUGGCGGCAUGCCUAACACAUGCAAGUCGAACGAGACCUUCGGGUCUAGUGGCGCACGGGUGCGUAACGCGUGGGAACCUGCCCUUAGGUUCGGAAUAACUCCCCGAAAGGGGUGCUAAUACCGGUUAAUGUCUUCGGACCAAAGAUUUAUCGCCGUUGGAUGGGCCCGGGUUGGAUUAGCUAGUUGGUAGGGUAAAAGCCUACCAAGGCGACGAUGCAUAGCUGGUCUGAGAGGAUGAUCAGCCACACUGGGACUGAGACACGGCCCAGACUCCUACGGGAGGCAGCAGUGGGGAAUAUUGGACAAUGGGCGAAAGCCUGAUCCAGCAAUGCCGCGUGAGUGAUGAAGGCCUUAGGGUUGUAAAGCUCUUUUACCCGGGAUGAUAAUGACAGUACCGGGAGAAUAAGCUCCGGCUAACUCCGUG